ACCACAGACACGGGGUGCGCCACCGACGGCGCUGAGAGCACACCCGUCGAACCUGCUCUAGUUCGGACUAGCGAAGGGAAUGUCAGAUGAUUUCUGC
rfam:Corynebacterium variabile DSM 44702, complete genome.